AUCGCUUCUCGGCCUUUUGGCUAAGAUCAAGUGUAGUAUCUGUUAUUAUCAGUUUAAUAUCUGAUAUGCCCCCGAUUCGGGGGCAACGUAUUAAACGCAUUUUUAGAACAGGGAGCUGAAUAAGUGGCUCGCUCCGUUCGCUCCACGCGUCGACCCGGUAUUGCAGCGCCUCCGGGAACGGUGCCCCUUUG
rnacentral:snRNA from 1 species